AUGACCUGCGGCGGCCUCCCCAUCUCGCCGGCGCCGAUGCCGACGGUGGCGGCCCCGCUGGAGGACGAGAACCUCCUCCCAGAAAUCCUCGUCCGCCUAGCCCCGCUGCCGUCCGCCCUCCCGCGCGCCUCCCUCGUCUGCAAGCGCUGGCGCUGCCUCGUCUCCGACCGCCGCUUCGUCCGCCGCUUCCGCGCCCACCACCUCCGCAGCCCCCCUCCCCUGAUCGGCUUCUUCGAGGAGGUCACCCGCGAGCCCUCCCCAGACUCCCCCAGCAGCCUCUUCUUCACCCCCAUCCUNNNNNNNNNNNNNNNNNNNNNNNNNNNNNNNNNNNNNNNNNNNUUCCGCAACGGCGACGGCCGCACGAUCCUCGGCUGCCGCGACGGCCUCGUGCUCCUCGUCGACGCGGGGAGUGCCGAGAUCGAGGUCCUGGUGUGGGACCCCGUCACCGGCGACCAGCACCGCUUCGUCGUCCCUCCGGUGAUCGACGAGCGCCAGGUCGUCGAGAUCUUAAACGGCGCGGUUCUUCGCACCGCCGGGAUCCUCGACGACCGCCCAUUCCGGUUCCAGGUGGUCUUGGCAGGCAUCGACAGGCCAAACAAGCGGCUGUUCGCCUGCGUUUACUCGUCGGAGACCAGCAAAUGGGGUGAUCCAAUUUGGGUAUCCGUGGAUUCGCCGAGCAACGUUCGCACCACGGUUUCUAUGCGUGUCUCCAGUACCCUGGUUGGGAAUUCCCUCUACUGGUCGCUAAAUGGGGAUACCGCUGCCAUCCUUCAGUUUGAUUUGGGCACACAACGCCUAGCUGCGAUACCGCUGCCACUGGAUAAGUGCAGCGAUGGCAGCCGCUCCUUCCGGGCUAUGCCCGUGGACGGUGGCGGGCUUGGCAUCCUUGAGCUGUUGGACUUCAACAUCCAGUUGUGGAAAAGGGAGAUCGACCGUGACGGUGUUGUUUCAUGGGUGCUGGGGAAAACUAUUGAAUUGGAUCAGCUUCUUUCCCUGGACAAGAGGGGAAUGAGUCCAAUGAUGCUGGGGUAUUGCGAGGUCAAUAAUGUGGUGUUCCUAAGGACAGUAUUCAGUAUUUUCAUUGUCCAGCUUGAGUCAUUGAAGUUCAGCAAGCCCCCCAUACAGGCAUCUUACUUCUUGGUUCAUCCAUUCACAAGUGUUUAUACUGCAGACAUGGGCAUUGGUGGUGGACCUGAUGAAGCCAAACUUCUGUGUAAUGCAAUGCAUAAGGUGACUGCAUUGUGA
rnacentral:rRNA from 1 species